rnacentral:rRNA from 1 species
CCUACGGGGGGCUGCAGUAGGGAAUAUUGGUCAAUGGAGGCAACUCUGAACCAGCCACGCCGCGUGCAGGAUGAAGGCCCUCUGGGUUGUAAACUGCUUUUGUUAGGGAAAAAACCCCUCGAUGCGUUGAGGGUUGAUGGUACCUAAAGAAUAAGGAUCGGCUAACUCCGUGCCAGCAGCCGCGGUAAUACGGAGGAUCCUAGCGUUGUCCGGAUUUAUUGGGUUUAAAGGGUGCGUAGGCGGAAUAUUAAGUCAGGGGUGAAAGCCGGUCGCUU